CAGUCGCCGCGGUAAUACGAAGGGGGCUAGCGUUGCUCGGAAUUACUGGGCGUAAAGGGAGCGUAGGCGGGUCGUUUAGUCAGAGGUGAAAUCCCGGGGCUCAACCUCGGAACUGCCUUUGAUACUGGCGACCUUGAGUAUGGGAGAGGUAAGUGGAACUCCGAGUGUAGAGGUGAAAUUCGUAGAUAUUCGGAAGAACACCAGUGGCGAAGGCGACUUACUGGCCCAUUACUGACGCUGAGGCUCGAAAGCGUGGGGAGCAAACAGGACUAGAUACCCGAGUAGUCCCUGUCUCUUAUAC
rnacentral:rRNA from 1 species